rnacentral:rRNA from 1 species
GGACGAACGCUGGCGGCGUGCCUAAUACAUGCAAGUCGAGCGAUCUGGAGGUUGGAGAUUAGAGGUUAGAAGUUAGACGAAACCAAUCGGCGAAGCCGAUUGGAUGAAUCUGAUUUCCAACUUCCAAUCUCCAACUUCCAGGGAGCGGCGGAYGGGUGAGUAACACGUGGGCAACCUGCCCGCAAGAYCGGGAUAACUCCGGGAAACCGGGGCUAAUACCGGAUGAUGCCUCUUCCUGCAUGGGAGGAUGCUGAAAGGCGGCCUUUGGCUGUCACUUGCGGAUGGGCCCGCGGCGCAUUAGCUGGUUGGUGAGGUAACGGCUCACCAAGGCGACGAUGCGUAGCCGACCUGAGAGGGUGAYCGGCCACACUGGGACUGAGACACGGCCCAGACUCCUACGGGAGGCAGCAGUAGGGAAUUUUCCGCAAUGGGCGCAAGCCUGACGGAGCAACGCCGCGUGAGUGAGGACGGCUUUCGGGUUGUAAAACUCUGUUCUUCGGGAAGAACGGYCGAAGGGUGAACAAUCCUUUGGCGUGACGGUACCGGAGGAGAAAGCCCCGGCUAACUACGU